GGAUAACCUGGAUGGAGGAGGACUCUUCUCCAACUCUGUGCUGUGUCCUGGCACAGCUUGUUUGGUCAUGAUCAUCAGGAAGAGUUCUUUAGUGAGCUCUCACUCUCCUUCCAGACCCUUUUGGGCAAUCUCUCCUCCGUGUUCUCUGAGGAGAGAGCAGUUACCAGGACAACAGAGAAUUUGAGGAAGUUUUAAUUGUGAUUUCAUGUCUAACCAGAAGAAAGAGCUAGUGCCUUUAUAUUCUAGGUUCCCAAGCAAAUGUCAAUGUGCAUAUUUAUUACUCUUGGUCUACCUCAUCAUAAAAAGGAUUUCAAGGUAGCGUGCAAUUUUCCCCUUUAAUAUGAGAGAAGAAAAGGAGGAUGCUGACCUCCCAACUUUGAUGCAAAUACACAGGUGAGGACAGCAUCCUUCCAGAAGAGCACAGUGGUCUCUGAAGCUGACAAGUUGUCCCCCAUGGGUACAGUGUGUCAGCUGCUCUGCUUCUCAAAUCUCCCUCUGCACAUGCCUUGGGGUCCACAGAGAACAUCUUCCUGGACAUGAUGAGAGGAAAAAUAUAGAGGGGAGGCAAGCAUCUCUGGAGACAGGACUUCUUCUGCUGCCUGCUGCUCUACAGUAGUGAUUGGAAGAUGGGUCACAGUGAAGGAGAUAUUAAAGUUGGAGAAUUCAAAUAGUUGACCAAGGAAGUAGCAAUUUGGUCCUAGAAGCAGACCCCAAAGUUGUUCCAAACAACUCAUAAGUUCACUUGAAUCCCG
ensembl:lncRNA